UUCAAACUUAAGUGCAAAACACAUCCCAAGAUAACGAUCUAAAUACGGUUUGAAGUGAAUUCAACAGUGCUUAAUUGUUAGAAAGUUUACUGUGUUCAAGAGAAGCAAAGACUCAGGAGCCAGUCUUAGGGAUAAUGAUGAUAAAACUGCCCAUUCCAGAAGUUUUUUUUUUUUCUUUAGUCUUUGGUGGGAAUAAAACUGUGGCCAUUUCAUGAUGAUCAAGUUAUAUUACAAACACAAACAGAAACCUGAGUUUUCAAGUUUUAAUUUAAAAUGAUAAAUUAGCAACACAUUUGUGGCAAAAAAUAAUGUAAAUAUAUCUCUUAUAACUACUGGAUCUAGAUAUAUAAUUUUCAAAGUACACAUAAGAUAAAGAUACAAUAAAAGUUUUCAUUUUAGAGACAGAGCAACUUUCUAAAAUAUUUAAAUUACUAAAUACAUUCUCCCUAAUUCAACAUUUUUCAUCUCUUGCUAGACAUAUGCUAUAUAUAAUAUUAAUAUAUGUGAUUUGACAGCUCUGUUGAUUUCUUUAUAUAAUUUAAACUAUACAUACUACUGAAUAAUUUUUAUUUUAAUGAUUAAAAUUUUUAAAUGAGUGUAUUGCUUUUGAACCCAUCUAAAAAAAUUUUUGAAGACUACAAAUAGAUUUAGUAAACAGGUUACAAGUGAAAUUUUGGCAUGAAGUAUGUUCCAGGUCCCCAAACUAUAGAUGUGUGGAUAAUAUAAAAGGGUCUUAUCCAGAAAGCAGCCUGCCAGAAUAUGUCACAUCCUCCUACCCCACAAUCAACAUAAUUAUAAUGGCAAUUUGGUAUACAACUGUUUAAAAAUUUUCUAAGCUGAAGAUUCUUUUUUUUUAAAUUUUUUAUUAAGGUAUGAUUGAUAUACACUCUUAUGAAGGUUUCACAUGAAAAAACAAUGUGGUUACUACACUCACCCAUAUUAUCAAGUAGCCACCCAUACCCCAAUGCAGUCACUGACCAUCAGUGCAACAAGUUGCCAGAGAUCCACUAUGUCCCUUCUCUGUGCUACACUGUUCCCCCCGUGAUCCCCCACACCAUGUGUACUAAACAUAAUACCCCUCAGUCCCCUUCUCCCUCCCUCCCCACCUGCCCUCCCACACCCCUCCCCUUUGGUAACCACUAAUUCAUUCUUGGAGUCUCUGAGUCUGUUGCCAUUUUGUUCCUUCAGUUUUGCCUCAUUGUUAUACUCCACAAAUGAGGGAAAUCAUUUGGCAUUUGUCUUUACCCGCCUGGCUUAUUUCACUGAGCAUAAUGUCCUCCAGCUCCAUCCAUGUUGUUGCAAAUGGUAGGAUUUGUUUCUUUCUUAUGGCUGAAUAGUAUUCCAUUGUAUGUAUGUACCACAUCUUCUUUAUCCAUUCAUCUACAGAUGGACACUUAGGUUGCUUCCAUAUCUUGGCUAUUGUAAAAAGUGCUGUGAUAAACAUAGGGGUGCAUAUGUUUUCUUGAAUCUGAGAAGUUGUAUUCUUUGGGUAUAUUCCAAGGAGUGGGAUUCUGGGGUCAAAUGGUAUUUCUAUUUUUAGUUUUUUGAGGAACCUCCAUAUUGCUUUCCACAAUGGUUGAACUAGCUUACAUUCCCACCAGCAGUGCAGGAGGUUCCCCUUUCUCCGCAUCCUCACCAACAUUUGUUGUUCUUAGUCUUUUCGAUGCUGGCCAUCCUUACUGCUGUGAGCUGAUAUCUCAUUGUGGUUUUAAUUUGCAUUUCCCUGAUGAUUAGUGGUGUGGAGCAUCUUUUCAUGUGUCUGUUGGCCAUCUGAAUUUCUUCUUUGGAGAACCAUCUCUUCAUAUCCUCUGCCCAUUUGUUAAUCGGGUUAUUUGCUUUUUGGGUGCUGAGGUGUGUAAGUUCUUUAUAUAUUUUAGGUGUUAACCCCUUAUCAGAUAUGUCAUUUACAAAUAUAUUCUCCCAUACUGUAGGAUGCCUUUUUGUUUUGUUGAUGAUGUCCUUUGCUGUACAAAAACUUUUUAGUUUGAUAAUAGUCUGAUGAGUUCAUUUUUGCUUUUGUUCCCUUUCUUGAGGAGAUGGGUUCAGGAAGAAGUUGCUUAUGCUUAUAUUCAGGAGAUGUUUGCCUAUGUUGUCUUCUAAGAGUUUAUGGUUUCAUGACUUAGCUUCAAGUCUUUAAUCCAUUUCGAGUUUACUUUUGUGGAUGGGGUUAAACAAUAAUCCAGUUUCACUCUCUUGCAUGUAGCUGUCCAGUUUUGCCAACACCAACUGUUGAAGAGGCUGUCAUUCCCCAUUGUAUGUCCAUGGCUCCUUUAUCAUAUAUUAAUUGACCAUAUAUGGUUGGGUUUAUACAGGGCUCUCUAGUCUGUUCCAUUGGUCUAUGGGUCUGUUCUUGUGCCAGUACCAAAUUGUCUUGAUUACUGUGGCUUUGUAGUAGAGCUUGAAGUUGGGAAGCGAGAUCCCCACUUCUUUAUUCUUCUUUCUCAAGAUUGCUUUGGCUAUUCAGGGUCCUUUGUGGAUCCAUAUGAAUUUUAGAACUAUUUGAUCCAGUUUGUUGAAGAAUGCUGUAGGUGUUUUUAUAGGGACUGCAUUGAAUCUGUAGAUUCCUUUAGGCAGGAUGGCCAUUUUGACAAUAUUAAUUCUUCCUAGCCAAGAGCAUGGGAUGAAUUUCUGUUUGUUAGUGUCCUCUUUAAUUUCUCUUAAGAGUGUCUUGUAGUUUUCAGGGUAUAGGUCUUUCACUUCCUUGGUUAGGUUUAUUCCUAGGUAUUUCAUUCUUUUUGAUGCAAUUGUGAAUGGAAUUGUUUUCUUGAUUUCUCUCUCUGCUAUUUCAUUCUUAGUAUACAGAAAUGCAAAAGAUUUGUGUACAUGUAGAUUUUUUAUGUAUCUUUAAUGAAUUCAUUUUGUAUGUAACUUUACUGAAUUCAUUUAUUAGUUCUAAUAGUUUUUUGUUGGUAUCUUUAGGGUUUUCCAUAUACAGUAUCAAGUCAUCUUUAAAUAGUGGCAGGUUCACAUCUUCUUUACCAAUUUGGGUGCCUUUUAUUUCUUUUUAUUGUCUGAUUGCUGUGGCUAAGACUUCCGGUAUUAUGUUGAGUAAAAGUGGGGACAGUGGA